CGGAAAGAAGAGCCCAAGGCACCAAGCCAGGUCUCGGUACAAAUACAAAUUUAUUCUCUUUCCAGAGCAGAGAUGGAGAGAAGCGGUGAGGACAGCAGCACCACCGUACAUGGUUACCAGAGCGUUAGCCAGCCCCAUCCCCACCCCCCCGCCACGGCGCAGCACCCGCGCGCAGCCUCAGCUCCCCCUGCACCCGGGGUCUGGGGGCGCAGAGCGAGGCUGCUGCUGCUCCCACCGGUGGGGCCCUGCACCCGGCACCGGGGACCAGCAGCUUUGCCCUAAUUCUGACUUCCUCUCUCGGCAGCUACCUCGCUAGGGUAGGGGAGGGCACGCGAAGCCAAAGGUUCGCUCCUCCCUGCUCCCCCGUCCUGCCCCUCUGCAAUAACGUUUGCUCUCCGGCCCCCCAAGCCACCAGCAGCUCCGGCUGAGCCAUCUCGGCUCGCACCCUCGCGCAGGACGCGGCGUGCAGCCCGCAGAGAGGCCCCUGGCCGCGCUGCUCCGCUCCUUCGCCCGCUACAGCCGCACACAAUGAGCCACCACCACGCUGGAGCAUGCAGGGCACUGCGCGAAGCCUCGCACGCAGCAUGCCGCAGCGAGCCGAGCGCCGCCGCCACCACCUCAAACGCCAAGAGCACCGCCGCGCUCCUGCCGCACGCCCGGCAGCGAGGCUCGCGCCUCCUCCUCCUCCUCCACGCCUCUGCCAACACGCCACGUCCAGAGCACACAGACCCCUGGCACCGGCACGCUGCCUUGCUCCAGACCUCCCCGAGCAGCUCCCCGGCGCAGCCAGCGACAACCGCCUGCUCCUGUCCCCGCAGCAAGCGCCCUCGGGGCGGGAGGUUUUGCACCGCCGCGCACCCGCCCUGCCGUGCCCCGAGGGCUCUGGCAUCUCGCCCCUCCGGAGCGCCGGGGCCACCGCGGCCCCGCUCUGGGGCACCCUACAGCACCUGACUCGACAGCUUUCUCGACAUAACGCAGCCCUAGACGGCGGCCUCGGGCCCAGGAGCCACCGCCACCAAGCAGCCCUGCAGAACAGCCGCCUCCGCCUCCCCUCGAGGGGACUUGCCUGCCUCCAGCGAGCGCCUCCGGCCCCUCAGCCCAGCUCCCUCCUCGAGGGGAGCACGGAGGCGCCCUGCCUGUCCCGACCGCACCGCUCCGAUCCUGCGUCGCAGCCCAACAUCGCGGCCCCGCGAUGCCGAGGCCCCGAGGCCGCGGGGAGCAGAGCACACAGAGCCUGGCGCCGGCCCGUGUGGGCUACGGCUGGAGAAACCCUGCAGCCGCAGGAGCCUCGUCCCCACCACGGGAAGAGGGGCUCCGGGUUGCACGGAGCGGGCAGAACAGGCUCUCUGUGCACGGCUCCCCCCAAAAAACAGGCGGGACUGACCGCCACGGCUGGCCUGGUGCUCGGCGUCCCUGCUCCGAGGCAGCAUGGGCAGCAGGGAAGGUGCCGGUCCUCGCAGGAGCACAUGUUGGGCUGGACUGAAACAGUCAAGUGCAACUGCCGCUUAACAAGUCCGGUGAGUCCAAGCCUGGACGCUAUGGCUGAGCGACCGAGCCAGACCCCCAGAGGAGCCCACAGUCCCGCUCCCACGUGGCCUAUGUUCCCCUGA
ensembl:lncRNA